AUUGUUUAGUGUUAGUAUUUAAAAGACUAUAUAAGCUUAAGAAUUACAUUAAGGUGAGUUAUUAUUUAUUAUUUUUCAUAGUUUAAAGUCGAUUUUCCUAUAAUAAGUUUUACUUUUUCAUCUAAGUAUUUAAAUAUGUUUAAGAUGUCUAAUACAAUAAAAUCUAUCUGUGGCCUUUUAAUAACUACCAUUGUUACCAUAAAUGCGGCACCUUCGUCAAAUUUGCGUGAGUAACUAUACAAACAUAAACAAAUUUUUUACUAAGUAUU